rnacentral:rRNA from 1 species
AUUUAUUAUUUAUAUUUUAAUUAAUGAAUAAGAAGAAUUUAAUAGAAAUAACUUAGUUUUUAGUAUGUUUUACUGAAAUAAUUGUUUUAUUUAUAGCUUAUUGUACUGUAUAGGGUAUAAUUGUUUUUAUUAUAAGUAGAAUUUGUUUAUUGUACCUUUUGUAUUAGGGUUAAUUAAUUUAAUUUAUUUAUAUAAUUUUCUCGAAGUUUGGGGAGAUAAAAUUAUUUGUUAAUUAAUGUUUCAGAAUUAUUAAUUAAUUAAUUUUAGUAAUGAGAUGUUAUUCGUUCCUUUAUAUCUGGUUUCUUAAGAAUUGAAUUUAAUUCAGGUUUAAUUAUUAUAUUUAAUAAUUUAUUUUUAUUUAUUUAAUUAAGCUAAGAUUUUCAGGGAUAAGCUUGAGAAUAUAUUCUAAAAAUUUUUGUUUUAGGGAUUUUGUAGGCUUAGAAUCGGCCGUCAUUAAUUUCGUUAUAGAUUAAUCUUGAAAUAAUUUUAUUUAAUAGUGUAUUUAGGUUUUCAUUAAGAUAAAUUAAAUAACUAAUAAUUAGUUGUAAUAAUGAUUGAAUUAGUAUUUUAUAUAAUUGGAUUACAGGAACUUGGCAAUUUUAAUAUUCGCCUGUUUAACAAAAACAUGUCCUUUUGUUAUUUAUAUAAGGUCUAGCCUGCCCAAUGAUUUAUUUAAUGGCCGCAGUAUUUUAACUGUGCUAAGGUAGCAUAAUCAUUUGUCUUUUAAUUGGGGGCUUGUAUGAAGGGCUGGACGAGAUAUUAACUUUCUUUAAUUUAAUUAAUUGAACUUAAUUUUUGAGUUAAAAAGCUUAAAUUUUUUUAUUAGACGAGAAGACCCUAUAGAUCUUAACAAUUAAUUUAUUUAUAGUAUUUAGGGAUUAAUUAUAUUAUGAGUAAUUGAAUUGUUUAAUUGGGGUGAUUGUAGAAUUUGAAUAACUUCUAAUUAUUAUUUUCAUUAAUUAGUGUUUUCUUGAUCCGUUUAUAAUGAUUAUAAGAUUAAGUUACCUUAGGGAUAACAGCGUAAUUUUUCCGGAGAGAUCAUAUCGAUGGAGGAGCUUGCGACCUCGAUGUUGGAUUAAAAUAAGUUCUUGGUGUAGUAGUUGAUGGACUAGGUCUGUUCGACCUUUUAAUUUUUACAUGAUCUGAGUUCAGACCGGCGUAAGCCAGGUCAGUUUCUAUCUUUAAUUUAAUAAUUACAUAUUAGUACGAAAGGACCAUAUGUGAGGAUUAUUUCUUAUUUGUUGUUUAAUAUUACUA